GGAGGAGUGGCAGAGUGGUUGAAUGCGACGGUCUUGAAAACCGUUGGACUCGAAAGGGUCUCGAGGGUUCGAAUCCCUCCUCCUCCGCCA
rnacentral:tRNA from 1 species